rnacentral:lncRNA from 1 species
CUGGCAUCUUUUUUGAUCAUUGCACCAUCAUCCAAUGCAUUGGGAUAACCAUGACAUGAUAUUUUCCAUCACUGAGCCCAUAACUGUCCCAUGAGAGGGAUAACAACUCUAUGUUAAAUUCAUGAUAGAAUUUUAUCCAGGGAUCUUGGGAAGUGGGAACAAGUGACAGACUAACUGCAAAACUUCAAACCAUGUGACCUGAACAGAAAAUUAAUAUUUCUCUGAGCAGGCUAUGUGUCUAUCGACAUCUUACUGUCUUCUGUGGAUGCUCUCAUCUGUUCAGCCCAAUCAUGCAGACUUUCUACUGCCUCGACCAAUCAAGACCAAAUAUCAAAUUGCAGAUACCAAUUCAUGAUCAUUUUGCACAAGACUGUGAAGACUUGCCAUUUUUCAGAUGCUCUCAACUGACAAUGUUGUUCAAUAUUUUCUCUGCCGUUUAGAAGGUUGACCCUCUAGACAAUAAUUUGAUGAAGAAAACAAUCUAAACCUUGCCUUGUCUUCAUUUAAUGGAAUGACUUGACUCAAGUCAGCUGUGUAUCUUGCAAUGCUCAUUAAUGAGAAGCCACUUUAUCAAGAUAAUGAAGUCAAAAUCACUCUGAGGAACAGAACAAUUUUUAAUAAAAACAGUUUCAUGGAGUCUGCCUAUCUUGUUCAUCUGACUCUCUUCCUAUGCAAUCUGGGCAUUCUCUCUUUUUCAGCAAAAAUUUUUCCACAUCGGAAUUAUUCAGGGACUGAGACAAUUCUUAUAAACAAAUAAGUCUGAACAGGGGAAAUUCUCUACCAUUCUCAUCCAAUGUUGUAGACACUUUUACCUGCAGGGAAGAACUUUGAGAUCUCUUUGCAGACAGAAUGAUUUAGGUUGCAAAUGUUUAAUUGGCAUUUUUAAUCUCAAGGUCAGAAAAAUUACUGUUGUUCAUCAGAUUUGGAGACCUUCCUGAAGGGAUCCAAUCUCAUCCUUGUUUCAUUGCUAACUGAAAAUCCUUCCAUAUUUUUCAUUUUUUUUCUAGCUUCUUAUUCACCAUAAUAUCAUGUGGACCUUCUGUCCCACCCAUUCCAAAAUACUUGCAAUUUUUCUUAAAUAACUCAACCCAUUAUAUGUCUUUCUAUUCCUUUUUGAUAUUUGCUAAAAUUUGAUCCUCUCCCAUUCCUACCUGUCUACACUCCUGAGUCUCAGAUAAAAAAUCUCUUCUUUGCCCAUCCCAAUCCCUCACUUCCUCUGAUUUUAACAGACCCACAUUCACCCCUUCUGCUGUGCUCCUAUGUCACUCUGUCAUGGCAUUGCUUCUUUCGGUAAGAAGAGUGUCUUCCCAUCUUCUUGCUCUGUCCCCCAUCACAUGUAGAUUGUGGAUUCCUAGAGAGCAGGGCAUGUCUCUUGUCUAUUUUUAUCAUCCCCAAAACUUAGUACAGUGUCUGGCACAUCCCGGCAGGUGCUCAAUAAAUGACUGCUGUAAAUAUUAACACCUGGUUUACCUAGCCCAAUUUUUAGUUCUGGUUUCUAAUUUGAUACCAAAAAAAUGUAAUAGAGGCGUUUAAUAUUAAAAUCUAGAAAAGAAGGACAAAAUGACAGCAACAUAAACCCACGGAGGAAAAAUAAAUAGGAAUAUGUACAGGCAAAGACCAUUGUGCCUACUUCUGUUUAUUAGGCAUGAAAGCAUUUAGUCUGGGAAAUUUUAACUGUGUUCCUAUGAAAUCAUGAUUGUUGAUAAAUCAUUUCCAUCUUAUGAGAGUCUAAGAAUAUUUUUUUUUGUAGUAUCCAAUGCCAUCAUGGCUUCAGGUAUUUCCACCUAAAUGGAAUAAGAUAACUAUUGACUUUUCCCCACUUAUUCAAAGUGAUCAUUGCCGGUGGCUGCUUUUCAAUCUAGAUUUUGAUCAAUCUAUUGGGUAGAAAUGCAUACUCACUUUAGAAAGUUAGAAAAACAUAAAAUAAAUGGGAAAACUUGUACUGAGU